AACGAACGCUGGCGGCAUGCCUAACACAUGCAAGUCGAACGAGCCCUUCGGGUCUAUUGUCGCCCGGUUUCGUCACGCGUGGGAACCUUCACUUAGGUUCGGCCUAACUCAAAGAAAUUUAAGCUAUUACCGGAUCAUGUCUUCGGACCAAAGAUUUAUCGCCUUAGGUUGGUCCCGCGUAGGAUUAGCUUGUUGGUGUGGUAAUGGCAUACCAAGGCGACGAUCCUUAGCUGGUCUGAGAGGAUGAUCAGCGACACUGGGACUGAGACACGGCCCAGACUCCUACGGGAGGCAGCAGUGGGGAAUAGUGGACAAUGGGCGAAAGGCUGAUGCAGCAAGGCCGCGUGAGUGAUGAAGGCCGUAGGGAUGUAAAGCGCUUGUAACAGGGAUGAUAAUGACAGUACCUGGUGAAUAAGCCCCGGCUAACUCCGUG
rnacentral:rRNA from 1 species